rnacentral:rRNA from 1 species
GACGAAGGAUUCAAGCGUUGUCCGGAUUUACUGGGCUUAAAGGGUGCGUAGGCGGAAAUAUAAGUCAGUGGUGAAAUCCCGCAGCUCAACUGCGGAACUGCCAUUGAAACUGCAUUUCUUGAAUACGGUUGAGGUAGAUGGAAUGUAACAUGUAGCGGUGAAAUGCUUAGAUAUGUUACAGAACUCCGAUUGCGAAGGCAGUCUACUAAGCCGUUAUUGACGCUGAGGCACGAAAGCGUGGGGAGCAAACAGG